rnacentral:rRNA from 1 species
AUGACCACCACAGGACCAAGCCACGAAGAUUCGCUCAUGGACUGGUGGCUGCACGCCAGGCAAAACACGCCGACACCGAUGCGCAAAGGCCUAGACUCCAUUGCCCUCCUGACGCCGUGGAUGAUCUGGAAGCAACGCAAUGAGUGCAUCUUCGAUGGCGCCCAGCCCAUGGUUCACGUCCUAGUCUCCAGGAUCAAGGAUGAAGCCCAGCAGUGGGCAUGA